GUGAAUCAUCGAAUCUUUGAACGCAAAUUGCACUUUCUGGUAUUCCGGAGAGUAUGCCUGUUUGAGGGUCAGUUCAUUCAAAAUCGGUGUUGUUGCUGCUUUUCGUGUUGACGCGUCGGAAUUGAGUUGUCUUACCUUCGGUUAUGUGACUUAAAAUUUUUGCAUGAUUUUCGAACGUAUUUAAAUCGCUUACGUACGUGUGAGAUAUCAAAUACUUAUUAUUUUCGGUCA
rnacentral:misc_RNA from 1 species